CAUUGAAUAACGUCACUUGUGUUUCAGAAUAACCCCAAGCCAUGGUUAGCAAAAGCUGUGAGAGAGGAAAAGAAACCGUUGCCCCCGGAUGUACAAAUGAUACCCAUUCCUAUUUUAGGAUCAGAGUUUAUUCACUCGCUGCCCGCUGUCUACUGUUCGCUGUGUGAUGUGUUUUUGAGAGACGUUGCAGAGGCUGUAAAGCAUCCUGAAAGUGACACUCACACUUCAAACUAUAAGACAUACAAGGAAAACCACCCCAGCAAAAUAGAAUCAUACUGGAAGGCCCACCAAGGAGCCCUGUUCAGGCACAAGAUGCAAAGCAAUAAAAAGGUAUACCAAAGCUGAAGCGAAAGACGACGUGUCUCAGCAGAUAGAAGGACGAUUACUCCGUGAACUCAAGGCUAAAAGAGAGAGA